GACCAGACUCCUACGGGAGGCAGCAGUGGGGGAUAUUGCACAAUGGGGGGAACCCUGAUGCAGCGACGCCGCGUGAACGAAGAAAUAUUUCGGUAUGUAAAGUUCUAUCAGCAGGGAAGAAAAUGACAGUACCUGACCAAGAAGCCCCGGCUAACUACGUGCCAGCAGCCGCGGUAAUACGUAGGGGGCGAGCGUUAUCCGGAUUCACUGGGCGUAAAGGGAGCGCAGGCGGCACGGCAAGUCCGGUGUGAAAGGCGGGGGCUCAACCCCCGGACUGCUCUGGAAACUGUACGGCUGGAGUGCAGGAGAGGUAAGUGGAAUUCCUAGUGUAGCGGUGAAAUGCGUAGAUAUUAGGAGGAACACCAGUGGCGAAGGCGGCUUACUGGACUGUAACUGACGUUGAGGCUCGAAAGCGUGGGGAGCAAACAGGAUUAGAUACCCCGGUA
rnacentral:rRNA from 1 species